rnacentral:pre_miRNA from 1 species
UUUUCGUUUUUUCGUGUCCAAUGUUUGACUAUUCGUCUUAUUUCAAUUUUUUUGCGAUUAAUAUUUUUAUUAUUACUAGAUGAUAAAAUAUAAAAUACAUGACUAAUUUUUUAAGUUUUUUUAUAAAUUUUUUAAAUAAGACGAAUGGUCAAACAUUAAACACGAAAAAAC